rnacentral:rRNA from 1 species
CGAGGAAUCUUCCACAAUGGGCGCAAGCCCGAUGGAGCAACGCCGCGUGGAGGACGACGGCCUUCGGGUUGUAAACUCCUUUCGGGGGGGAGGAUACGGACAGUACCCCCAGAAGCAGCCCCGGCUAACUCUGUGCCAGCAGCCGCGGUAAGACAGAGGGGGCAAGCGUUGUCCGGAAUUACUGGGCGUACAGCGCGCGCAGGCGGGUCGCGAUGUGCCGUGUGACAGGCGGGGGCUCAACCCCCGAGGCGCAGGGUAGACACGCGGUCUGGAGGCAGGGAGAGGGAUGUGGAAUGCCCGGUGGAGCGGUGAAAUGCGUAGAGAUCGGGCGGAACACCAGCGGCGAAGGCGGCAUCCUGGCCCUGACCUGACGCUGAGGCGCGAGAGCGUGGGGAGCGAACUGG